UGAACGCUGGCGGCGUGCCUACUACAUGCAAGUCGAGCGAACAGACGAGGAGCUUGCUCCUCUGACGUUAGCGGCGGACGGGUGAGUAACACGUGGAUAACCUACCUAUAAGACUGGGAUAACUUCGGGAAACCGGAGCUAAUACCGGAUAAUAUAUUGAACCGCAUGGUUCAAUAGUGAAAGACGGUUUUGCUGUCACUUAUAGAUGGAUCCGCGCCGCAUUAGCUAGUUGGUAAGGUAACGGCUUACCAAGGCGACGAUGCGUAGCCGACCUGAGAGGGUGAUCGGCCACACUGGAACUGAGACACGGUCCAGACUCCUACGGGAGGCAGCAGUAGGGAAUCUUCCGCAAUGGGCGAAAGCCUGACGGAGCAACGCCGCGUGAGUGAUGAAGGUCUUCGGAUCGUAAAACUCUGUUAUUAGGGAAGAACAAAUGUGUAAGUAACUAUGCACGUCUUGACGGUACCUAAUCAGAAAGCCACGGCUAACUACGU
rnacentral:rRNA from 1 species